rnacentral:rRNA from 1 species
CACGUAGGGGGCAAGCGUUGUCCGGAAUCAUUGGGCGUAAAGAGCGUGUAGGCGGCCAGAUAAGUCCGCUGUGAAAUCUCGAGGCUCAACUUCGAACUGUCGGUGGAAACUGUCUGGCUAGAGUCCGGAAGAGGAGAAUGGAAUUCCUGGUGUAGCGGUGAAAUGCGCAGAUAUCAGGAAGAACACCCGUGGCGAAGGCGGUUCUCUGGGACGGUACUGACGCUGAGACGCGAAAGCGUGGGGAGCGAACAGG